rnacentral:rRNA from 1 species
AUGGGGGAGAUUUGGCCAAUACCCCCAAAGGAGCACCUGGAUGCUAUGGACUACCUCAAUCCAAUACGAGACGUGAAGCAUCUGAGUACUGAACAAAUAAUUGAAGGCAAAUAUUCCGUCGCUGAUUCCCUUCCGGCGACUGUUGUCCGACCGCGUCCACCUGAUCCACCUUGGGUACCGCCACCUUCCGGUUGGCUGGCCCUGUCAGCGAAUGGCUCUUUCUCGCCGGAUGACAGUACAGCCGGUGCAGGCAUGGUCAUCAGGAAGUGUACAGGUGAAGUUAUUCUUGCUGCAUGCCGUUUGCUGUUCUUCUGCAAUGAUGCACUUGAAGCUGAGAUACAGGCAAUCCGGGAAGGGAUGUCUCUAGUCCUCCAAUGGUCUAAUCUUCCGGUCAUGGCGCAGUCAGACUCUAUGGUAGCUCUUUCAUCUUUGUCUAAUGCUUCCCUGGCCAAGUCGCCUAAUGGCCAUCUGGUCGAUGAAAUCAAGUCGCUCCUUCUAGAGCGGGAGUUUAUUCCGGUUAAGAUAACUCGUUCUCAAAAUAGGGUAUCACAUUGUCUAGCUAAAUGCUCGUAUGACGUAGUACCCCUUGUUGGUUACAACGAGCUCCUCUUAUUCAUGAUCCUGUAUUAG